rnacentral:rRNA from 1 species
AACGAACGCUGGCGGCAGGCUUAACACAUGCAAGUCGAGCGCCCCGCAAGGGGAGCGGCAGACGGGUGAGUAACGCGUGGGAAUCUACCCAUCUCUACGGAAUAACGCAUGGAAACGUGUGCUAAUACCGUAUACGUCCUUCGGGAGAAAGAUUUAUCGGAGAUGGAUGAGCCCGCGUUGGAUUAGCUAGUUGGUGGGGUAAAGGCCUACCAAGGCGACGAUCCAUAGCUGGUCUGAGAGGAUGAUCAGCCACACUGGGACUGAGACACGGCCCAGACUCCUACGGGAGGCAGCAGUGGGGAAUAUUGGACAAUGGGCGCAAGCUUGAUCCAGCCAUGCCGCGUGAGUGAUGAAGGCCCUAGGGUUGUGAAGCUCUUUCACCGGUGAAGAUAAUGACGGUAACCGGAGAAGAAGCCCCGGCUAGCUUCGUGCCAGCCGCCACGGUAACAC